CUUUAAUAAACUGCAUUUCAAAAUCCAUUUCCCUUUCCUGUUCGCUCAGGGAUUAACAUGUGGAUUAGCAGUUGGAUUAGCAGUUGGAUUAACAACUUCAUUUUAAAAAUCCUGCUGCUAUUCAAAUUAGCCACACCGUGGGAUGUAAGGAGCUCUCUGAUUGGUUGGUCAGACACAGGCUGUCUGCCAGCCUGGAUUUUUCUAGCUCAUAGCUUCUCCCUGCUAAGAAGCGUGUGUGCUUGUACAAAGGCCGUUCAGCCUCGGGAUUUACACUCGGCUCGACACAGAUAUGUGAAGAAUGAAGGGACCCUGCAGCGAAACGGAGAGCCAACCUCUGACUGAGUGCCUGUUUUCGCAGUCUGACCACCUGUUGAAGGGCUGUUUGAUGACGAUUUGGACUCCUCUGGGAGAUGAGGACACACCCACAUCUGUUCCAUACUGCAGCUAUGGAUGGUGUUACAGCUCUGAGUCAGCUUUAGGCCAUCAGACGCACACACUGGAAAACCAGCACCUUCAUGCAGGAGAGACGGCCUCAGUGAUAAUUCAUCAGCAGCUGUGAGGAGAUACAUUUGAAUAUCUUCUGGUUCCACUUUCCUAACCUGGAAGCUGAGGAUGGCUAAUUCCUGACAAGGACACAAACCUCAGCGCUUAUCAUGGGUGUUACAUCCUCCGUGCAGCAAUUCCAGAGAAAACGAGAGAGCAACGACCACUCAUUAAGACCAGACAGAAAUCUGUCCCUUUCUGGCAGCUGUGGAAACUUCCAAUAAGAAAGUUUGCAUUCUUAGAACAAUGCUGGGUCGUGUGUGAUGUGUCAUCAUAUGAGGAUAUUACAUUUUGACUUAAUUCUGCUCAAUUAAGUGUUUUGAUCGUUGAUCCAAUAUGGCAGCUUUGUGUUGUGCUGCAAGUUAAAACCCAUUGUCCUCACGAGCACAGCAUCUAACAACUCUCCUUAAAAAAGUCGAUUGACUUUAACUGGACACAAUGGUUUCCAGUGGGAGAUACAUUCAUCACUCAUCCGUGACACUGGAGAAGUCACCUGAGUGAGUGAUAAAACAAUUUUCCAUGGAAAAUCCAGAGGAACUAAACUUUGUUGUUGUUUCUUGGGGCUCAAUUUCAGCUCUAGCAGCAUCUCUCAGAAGAAAACCGUUUUGCAAAUAAUCAGAUAAAAAGAUUGUUGAACCAGGUGGUAUUCUCUGGGGUUUAAGACCAAACUCAAACAGUGAAUUGACAUUAGACUGGAAUUCAUAGGACGAAUAGAAAUACUGCUGAAGCUAAAUGAUUCAUAUAUAUGUAUGUGUGUAUAUAUAUAUAUAUUAGGGCUGUUCGAUAUAACGAUAUAUAUCGGAUGACGAUAUAAAAACGUCUAUCGUUUCAUUUUACGCUAUCGUUUGUUUCGUGGUGUCGCAAAAUAAACUGUUUACCGCAAUAUUUUUUCAUCAUUUUGAUGGUCACUGUAGUGGCUAUAUUAAUUUCCUAAAGUUCUCUCUUUCUCUUAUAUUUAAUAUAACCACACUACGGACGGACAAGCGCUUGUUUUUAUGCGUUGUCGUUAGCAACGACAGUAAAACCACGGCGUGUCCACUUGUUUAUUUUCCACAUAAACCUUUCACAAUAAAGCUCAAGAUCCUGUUGAGACUUUUCAAAAUAAACUGAGUCACGUGAAAGAUGCAGAGUAUUAACGGAUGAGAAGCAAAAAAGAGCCGUCAGGUGCUAAAAAAUAAACCUUAGACUCAAACGUUAGAACAGGCUUUUCCCCGCAGCACGCUGUGUAAUAAAUACUCACAAAGAAAACGGCGGCCGUUACAACUUAUGUCUAAAAAUGUAUCGUUUCAUGCAUCGAUUAAAACACUCGACUCCAGGUACACGACGCGCAGCUGGAAACACUUCAUGCAAGUCGAGCUGCCCGAGAUUCACAGAAUUUACAGGAAGUGUUACAAUUUUGUAAUUUAUAUCGUUAUAUCGACGAUAGAUGUCUUAAUAUCGGGAUAUGAGAUUUUGGUCAUAUCGCACAGCCCUAAUAUAUAUAUGACUU